rnacentral:rRNA from 1 species
CCUACGGGCGGCUGCAGUGGGGAAUAUUGGACAAUGGGCGAAAGCCUGAUCCAGCCAUGCCGCGUGUGUGAAGAAGGCCUUCGGGUUGUAAAGCACUUUCAGUGGGGAAGAAAGCCUUGGGGCUAAUACCCUCGAGGAAGGACAUCACCCACAGAAGAAGCACCGGCUAACUCCGUGCCAGCAGCCGCGGUAAUACGGAGGGUGCGAGCGUUAAUCGGAAUUACUGGGCGUAAAGCGCGCGUAGGCGGUCUGAUAAGCCGGUUGUGAAAGCCCCGGGCUCAACCUGGGAACGGCAUCCGGAACUGUCAGGCUAGAGGGCAGGAGAGGAAGGUAGAAUUCCCGGUGUAGCGGUGAAAUGCGUAGAGAUCGGGAGGAAUACCAGUGGCGAAGGCGGCCUUCUGGACUGACACUGACGCUGAGGUGCGAAAGCGUGGGUAGCAAACAGGAUUAGAUACCCUGGUAGUC